GCAGGGCAUGGUGGCGCACCUAUAAUCUCAGCUACUCCGGAGGCUGAGUUUGGAGGAUCACUUGAGCUCAGGAGUUCUGGGCUGCAGUGCAUUAUGCCAAUCGGGUGUCUGCACUAAGUUCAGCAUCAAUAUGGUGACUGCCCGGGAGCGGGAGACCACCAGGCUGCCUA
rnacentral:sRNA from 1 species